AGUGAACGCUGGCGGUAGGCCUAACACAUGCAAGUCGAACGGCAGCACAGUAAGAGCUUGCUCUUACGGGUGGCGAGUGGCGGACGGGUGAGGAAGACAUCGGAAUCUACUUUUUCGUGGGGGAUAACGUAGGGAAACUUACGCUAAUACCGCAUACGACCUACGGGUGAAAGCAGUGGAUCUUCGGACCUUGCGCGAUUGAAUGAGCCGAUGUCGGAUUAGCUAGUUGGCGGGGUAAAGGCCCACCAAGGCGACGAUCCGUAGCUGGUCUGAGAGGAUGAUCAGCCACCCUGGAACUGAGACACGGUCCCGACUCCUACGGGAGGCAGCAGUGGGGAAUAUUGGACAAUGGGGGCAAGCCUGAUCCAGCCAUACCGCGUGGGUGAAGAAGGCCUUCGGGUUGUAAAGCCCUUUUGUUGGGAAAGAAAAGAAGCAGGUUAAUACCCCGCUGUUCUGACGGUACCCAAAGAAUAAGCACCGGCUAACUUCGUG
rnacentral:rRNA from 1 species